GUGCUUGCUUUGGCAGCACAUAUUCUAAAAUUGGAAAAAUACAGAGAAGAUUAGCAUGGCCCCUGUGCAAGGAUGACACACAAAUUCAUGAAGCAUUCUGUAUUUUU
rnacentral:snRNA from 1 species